rnacentral:rRNA from 1 species
CACACCGUAAACGAUGAUUACUAGGUGUGGGGGGUCUGACCCCCUCCGUGCCGGAGUUAACACAAUAAGUAAUCCACCUGGGGAGUACGACCGCAAGGUUGAAACUCAAAGGAAUUGACG